AUCAUGGACAAAAGAGAAGAACUACAUAUCCCAGAGGACCUCACGGUCAGAGAAGGAAGAUACAUCACGGAAGAUACAUCAUCUGGUUGCGCGUGGUUUUUUUUUCUUCACUUUCGCUUGCUACCAGGAGAGGAGUGGGUGUGCUCCCAAGCCGUCCACCUUCAUCAAGGAGUCCUGGUUGUGGGACUUGGGGCCUUUGCUGUGGUCCAAGAGCAAUUCCACAGCAAAGAAGGGGUGGCCAUGGUUCGAAGACCUGUCUUUCAUCUGGACAUCAGUGCACAGUGGCUGCAGGACUUCUGGUCUCCCACUGAGAUCAUCCCUGGUGAGAAGGCAGCAGCUACCUUCUUCCCCUUCUGGCCCAAUGUCCGGCAGGGUGUGUUCUCCCCACUCUUUGGAAAGGGCUGGGAGAAGCAGAGAACUGUCUGCCAAGGUGCCGGUACAGCUCAAGUUCCUCCAAAAGAACCUGCACCCCAAGAGCUGUUUCUCUAAAGGACCUUUUCUCUGGGAUUUGGUUACAAAUGUUGCAUGGAAAUGUGGCUUGCUGUGGCAGUGAGGAUGUUCCUUCUCCUUACAGACGAUGUCAAGAUGGAGCCGCUGAACUACCGGCAGCUCUUGCAAGCUACCGCCAUCCUGCUGCACGUGGUGCAGAGCUGCAUGCAAGAGACCAUCCUCUUGUACUGUCUUCUCCUGAGCAACAAGGUGCACAUCCCAUUCGCCUUCCAUGGGAUCGGCAUCCUGCUGUGUGAAGAUAACCUCCUUUGCAUGAGGUUCUAUCACAGCUGUGUGAUGAUGGAGGGGACUGCAAGCCUGGUUGCACUGCUCCACAGUGUAAG
ensembl:lncRNA